AGUAUCAGUGAUGAUAGUUUGGCUCCCUCUACUGAAUCCCGUGAGGAGAAUCGCCAUCGUUACCCAAUAAAUGUCUGAGAUACU